GUCGAAGGUGGGGCUGAUGACUGGGGUGAAGUCGUAACAAGGUAUCCGUACCGGAAGGUGCGGAUGGAUCACCUCCUAACAGGGAGACAACACAAUGAUUUUGAUGCCUGAGUACUUUUAUUCUUAGGCCGAAAUCCUGUCACCUUAGGUCGAUCGGUACCUCAGCUUUGAAGUCAAGGAUCAGCAGCAAUGUUGAUUGCUUGAUGGAGAUUUUUAGUUCCUAAACUUUGUCUAGGUCACACCCCAAAAGGGAUGAGACUCCUGGGCCAUUAGCUCAGGUGGUUAGAGCGCACCCCUGAUAAGGGUGAGGUCCCUGGUUCAAGUCCAGGAUGGCCCAUUCGGUGUUGGGGGUUUAGCUCAGUUGGUAGAGCGCCUGCUUUGCAAGCAGGAUGUCAGGAGUUCGAGUCUCCUAACCUCCACUGACCGAACUUGAUUCCCAUCUCCAAUUUUUUGGAGUUGAGCUCGAUUGGAGUGUGAUUUAGAUGUGUCCGCUGGAUGACCCCAGCUUCCUGUCAUUCCAAGUUUUAGAUUUUAAGUCUUAAAUUUGGUUGAUAAGAUGCUGGGCUCGGAUCAAAUAAUUAAGCAAUUGAUGAUUUGAUUUGAAGUUCUAGCAGAACCUUGACAACUGCAUAGGUGAAGUCUGGAAAAACAAAGCAUCUUACAGAUGCAUUGUUUUGAAUCUGAUCUUCUGAAAGGGAGAUUGGAUCUAGAACAAUGAAAAUUCUUUUGAGCAAGAGCCGAGACUCUUAAAUGUUCUUUGAUUCGUGUCGAGCGAAUCAGAGUUUGAUCUUGUUUUUAGCAAUAAAAACUUGAGAAUCUGCUUUCAACGGCGGUAAGCGUUUAAGAGGUUAAUUGGUCAAGCUACAAAGGGCUCACGGCGG
rnacentral:misc_RNA from 1 species